rnacentral:lncRNA from 1 species
GGUGAUUCCUGAGCUUCACCCUCAGCAACCCCGCAGGCAAACCCGGGGGACUACUCUUUCCUUUCUGCUUGUAAUGGUGGAAGAAAGGGAAAGCUACUCUGAGAGGGCAGUAGAAGAGGGAAACAGCAGCUUUCUACUCCCCACUGGCUUCAAGCCUGCCUGAGGAGGGCGAGGGAGGUUCAUAGCCUUAAUACCAGCUCUGGAAGAAGAAAGAACAACUCUGGAAGAACUGGCUAGGAACUUUGGAUUAUGAAGCAUCAAGCAUACCCUCCCAGAGACCCCUCUUCUCUGGAUUCUCCUGCCCUUGGCCUGUGCCUGUGGGCAGGUCCAGCUGCUCUGGAAAAUGUCCUAGCUGCCAUCGCCGAGUUACAGAACCGAAUGACUGCAGGGGUGACCCAAGUUGCUUUCUGAGCAUUGAUGGGGACCAAAUGGUGUUUGGCUUUCCCUGCCCAUCCCCUACCCACGGAGCAACAGACUAUCUCAGGCUCCAGCAGGAAGCUGGCAACCCUCAGUCUCCUCCCCACUGAGCUUCGCCCACCCUCCCAGCAGCAGCAGCAGCAGCAGCAGCAGCGGAGGGAGAACCUGCAGCCCCCGCCCAGCAUGUGAGACAAGGCUGGGCACACACACAGCAUUCCGCCGUCACUUGGCAGGUCCUUGUCGAGGAACAGAUGGAAAAGUCUGAGGACACUCAAUUCCCUAAGUUCCUUUCCUGAGAGCUCUACCCUGUCCCAGCCCCAACAAAUUAGAUUUUUUCAGGCUAGUUAAAAUCUAUCUCCUCCUACAUAUAUAUUGCCCCCCCCCCUUAGGUCCUAGGAAGGGGACAUCUAAGAGAUCUAAGAGAGUGGGUAUAUGUGGCCCUGGGAAUUGUCUUGCUUCCUUGGCAAGGUUGCUGUUCCUAAUCUUGAGGAUCCAGGAUUGUAGCAUCUCUGUCUAGGGGGAUUUAUUGGACACAGGCUCACCCCAAGGGGGCCUCAUUGCUACCUGUGGGCCCUGGAGUCCUUGCCAGCAACAGAGCACAGCUCGGAGUCACAAAUUUAGCUUCAAACACUGGUUUGCUGGCUGCUUGAUGACAACUCUGAACCCGAGGCUAUUUGUGCAUCUGUAAAAUGGGCAGAAUAGUGGCUGCUUCAUAAGGUUGUGGGGAGAAUUAAUGAAGGUGCUGUGUGUAAAGUGCUUGGUACACAGCUGAGGAAAUGCUCAGAGAAUGACAGAGAUUAUGAUCUCCUUAUGCUCUCAGGACACUGUCCCAUCUUUCUAUGGUUACUUGCUGCCUCCAGGGAAGCCCCUGAGUAUACUGAUAUGGGACCUGAACUAUGGCUAUUGUAGAGCCUAAAUCUGGGAACCUUAAUUUGUAGGUCUUCAUGUAAAAUAAACACGAGGGAUAUAGAAACAUCUCAGUUUGACCUCAGAAUAUGAAUUUGAUCAUUAUUGCUAUAUGCUUUCUAGAAAGGUUGCAUCAAUUUACACUUGCACAUACAAUGCAGGAAAAUGCCUGCUCCCCUAACCCCUCCAACAAAUCCUAUAGC